AAAAAUCCACAAAAAUAUUUAGAAACCAAACAUUGUUGAAAAUAUAUUUUCUAUAUAUGCCGUAAUCUCGUAAGUUAAUUUUACAUCAUGCAAAUUAAUAUUAAAUGAGUUAAAAUUAAUAAAUAAAAAUAAUUGAAAAGUUAAGUCCUGUAAGCUAAGCUAUUUUUCUCAAAAUGUUCUAUUUUCACUUAUGAUUACAUGAGUUAAAGACAAAUUUGUUAAUUUUCCUUUUGUUGAAUAAAUGUUAAUUGUUUAUAAAUAUAUAGACAUAUAAAUUAGUAUAUGUAAAUUUGUUUACUUUUUAAGAUUUUCUAUUUUUUUAGAGAAUUAAAAAGUUAAAUUUUGAAUGACACAUGUAAACAUCUGAUCGUUUGACUUGACACGUGGCACAAUCCUAUGAGUUAGCAACUUUGAAAACCAUACUUUAUAUAAUAA
rnacentral:sRNA from 1 species